rnacentral:lncRNA from 1 species
GGCAUGGAUGCAUCUUGCUUAUGAAGCACAAGUUCGAAUUGGUUGAAAUGUUUGAAUGAUUCAGUAAUGAGGUAGAAAAAUAAACUGCAAAGAGUAUUAAAACUCAUCGAUUUGACUGAUGAAGUGAAUAUCUUUACAGUAAGUUUUGAUAUAUUUAGGAGAGAAUUGGAUUGUCUCUCAAUGGACCUCUUCUGAGACACCAUUGAUCAAAAAGA